CGGAAUCGAACCUGGGACCCUUGAGUCCGCAGGCCGACGCUCUAUCCACUGAGCCAAACCGGUUAGGGCAUCGAUAUUUUUGUUAAUGAGUUACCCCCCUCACCCCCGCCCAGAAAAAAAAAAAUUUUUAAACAAAUUUCAGCCCCAGAAAUCCAAUUCUGCCCUUGGAACAUACACAGGACAUUUUGUGUCACAGGAACUGACUUUCUUGUUUUGACUGGGAAACAGCAAAGGAUUUGGGAAGAGAGGUCUCAGCUUUCCCACCAGGAUGAUAGGGAAUCAAACCUGCAACCUUUUGAUGCACAGGAGGACGCUCCCACCAACUAAGCCAUUGGGCCAGGGCUUUGUGUCCUUAUAUUUAAAAUGGGUUCUUGUAGAAAGAGAAGAAGCAAGAGAGAAAGAG